rnacentral:lncRNA from 1 species
AAAAUAUGACCACAAACACUUAUGCUUCUUCCUUUGGUUUCUGAUAUUUAGCUUCCAAAAGAUAGAAUAUGAUUGAGUCGAAUCCAGUUUGACUUUUUGUUGAAGUUCGGCGUCGGAUUUUUUUUUAGCUACCGUUCGCGAGUUACGAUUGUGGUUCAUGUUCAUUUUUGUUGUUGUUUGGAUUCUGAAGGAAAAAUAUUGCAUUCCUCGAUUAUUUUCUUGGUAUUAAAGACAAUCUUGGGUUAGCAGGUUCAAUUUCUUUUUUUUCUUCUACUUCUUCUUUUCCUUCAUUAAAUCAUAUUUGGAAUAAAUCUAGUCUUAGAAGAGCCAUUAAAGAUGGAUUAAGGUUACAAUAAUUGUUGAGAUUUGUUUAUUUUCCUUAGAAUUUGGUUCACUAUUUUCAGCAUCUCAUAUAUUUAUCUAUGGAUUUAUUUUAGGAUUGAGUGAACUUAUUUUGCACUGGAUUUGUAUUUAGUUUGGUUUUUAGUCAAACAGGGAGUGGAUAUCCAUAUGAUUCUUUAUUAUUUUAAAAUUAUUGAAAAAAUAAUAUUUUCCAUGCGUUUACUUAUUUUUCUUAGGGAAAAGGGUCAGAACUGCCCUUAACGUGUUGACUCCAGGUUAAAAAUGCCCUACGUUAACCUAUUUUGAAGAAAAUGCCCCUACCGAUAAAAAUGUGGCAUAUUUGUGCCCCUAAGUCUAACAACUGACUGUACUUAUAUUUAAAACGGUAGGGGCAUUUUUUUCAAAAUAGGUUAACGGUAGUGGNNNNNNNNNNNNNNNNNNNNNNNNNNNNNNNNNNNNNNNNNNNNNNNNNNNNNNNNNNNNNCAUUUUUUUCAAAAUAGGUUAACGGUAGGGGCAUUUUUAAACUGGAGUCAAUACGUUAGGGGCACAAAUAUGCCACAUUUUUAACGGUAGGGGCAUCUUCUUCAAAAUAGGUUAACGGAGGGCAUUUUUAACCUGGAGUCAAUACGUUAGGGGCAGUUCUGACCCUUUUCCGUUUUUCUUAUGGUUGGAACAUGGAUUAUAUGAGCUAAAAGUCCUCCUCAAUCGUCCUUUUACUUGCGGAUUCAACAUAUUUGCUGUAAAGUUAAUUUAUCACUAUUUUGCUUUUACUAAUCUAUUAAAGUUGAUGUGGAUUUGGCUUUAGAUUACUAUUAGAGCUGAAUUCUCUUUAUUUUUAGCAAUAAUAAAUUUAGCAUCUCAGUAACCUAAGGAGCUAUUGUCAUCACGUUUGGAUGCUUGGCAUGUUUGUUAAAAUGAGUUUCUUUAUUAAUUUGCAUAUUUUAGUAUAGUAUCCAUAAGAAUGUGAGCCUGAGUUUGGUUUGUGAGAGGUAUUAAAAUCAUCUGUAGUAAAUUGAAACUGGAGGUAAUUGGAUGUUCGAAUUUUUGCAAAUUUUUAGUCGGGUUUCGAGACAUGGGCUUGGGUUGAAUUAUUAUUAUUUCUUCGGAAAGAUCAUAAUUUUAUUGCUCAAAUUAAUUUCUUGUAGUUGUGUUUAUAGUAUGAAAUUAUUUUGGCUAGAUUCGAGUCGUCCAGAAUUGGAUAAUCGAGGGAAAGGCCUACUGGUGGAUUGAGUUGCGUGACUUGAGGUAAGUGGCUUGUCUAACCUAGUGUGGGGGACUUUGUCCUUAGAAUAUGAUAUUUGGUAAUUGAAUGCCUUGUACGUGAGGUGACGAGCGCGUACCUGAGCUAAUUGUUGAUAACCCGAAUUUUUCUUCAAAUAGUUGAAUUGAGUUUCUUUCGUAUUUGCUUUAUUCUACUUGCUAUUAUAGUCUGUGCUAGUGUAGAAAAGCAUGAUUAGUUGAUCGAAAUUGCCUAUUUGCUUAAAUUGCCUUAAUUAUGUGAAGCAUAUUAGGCUAGAAUUAUUUGUGGCUUUGUAUUGUCGAACUUCAAGUUUUGAAUAUUUCUCUGAUUUUGGUUGUGAUUUAAACCCAAAAUUUUCUUAAAAUACUUAAAUUGAGUUUCUUUCGUAUUUGCUUUAUUCUACUUGCCAGUAUAGCAUGUGCUAGUAUAGAAAAGCAUGAUUAGUUGAUCCAAAUUGCCUAUUUGCUUAAAUUGCCUUAAUUCUAAUUAUGUGAAGAAUGUUAGACUAGAAUUAUUUGUGGCUUUGUAUUAUUGAACUUCAAUUUCUGAAUAUUUCUCUGAUUUUGGUUGCGCAUUUAUAUUUGAGACUAUGGAUGUGGGAUUCCGGUAGCUCCCUCCCUUGUUUGUUUAUUUUGGGAUUGCGGAUUCGAUUCCCGAUAGAUCCCCCUGCACAUUUAUUUUGGGACUACGGGUUAGAUUUCCGGUAGAUCACCCUGCACAUUGAUGGUUGGACUACGGGGCGGUAUCCCGGGAGAUCCUUCAGAUAUAUUCAUACGGUGGACUACGGAACAGUAUCCCGGGAGCUCCUCGUACAAAUUGAUAAACUGGACUACAGGACGGUAUCCUGGGAGAUCCUCAUUAUUGGUGCUGGUAUUGAGUUGUUUACUCUAUGUUAACUAAUUUUUUCUGAAUAUUAAUUGAUGUUUGUGUAAUCAUAUUUAAUUCAUAAUUGUAUAUCAUUAUUUCUGCUUAUUUCAUACUGUUGUCAGUCUCAUUAUCAUAUUUUGUCUCAGUAGGACCCUGACCUUCCUCGUCACUACCC